AUAUCAAUAAGCGGAGGAAAAGAAACCAACAGGGAUUGCCUCAGUAACGGCGAGUGAAGCGGCAACAGCUCAAAUUUGAAAUCUGGCCCCCUCGCAGGUGUCCGAAUUGUAAUUUGUAGAGGAUGCUUCGGCGUUGGCCCCGGCCUAAGUUCCUUGGAACAGGACGUCGCAGAGGGUGAGAAUCCCGUACGCGGCCGGUGUCCCUCGCUGUGUGAAGCUCCUUCGACGAGUCGAGUUGUUUGGGAAUGCAGCUCUAAAUGGGAGGUAAAUUUCUUCUAAAGCUAAAUACCGGCCAGAGACCGAUAGCGCACAAGUA
rnacentral:rRNA from 1 species